AGAGGCUAGAUCUGCAGUGAAAUUUCCCCAGCUUCUGAUAACCAAGGUCUAGCCUUGGAAAUGAACUCAGAAAUGAGUUAGGAGCACAGAGACUGCCAACCAGAUGCAAAACUUACUCAAGAUUUCCUCGAAAUGAAAAAGAAGGCCCAGCAUACCUGACCAGGUGCAGUUCAGCAACAGAGACUCCACAAAACACAGAUGCAUUUCACUGCAGCAAAAUCAAUGAGACAUAAGUGCUUUGCUGAACCAGAGCCAUAACAAGGCCAGAGUCAGAGACCCAUCAGCCUCACAUCCUGGAGCACUUCCACAGCUCGUAGAAAUCCCCUUCCCCAGCUGUAACUGUAACCUGCCCUGGUAGAGAGGUACACAGAUCCUGCAAGGAUUGUGUGGAAAGGUGUUUCCACAGAAGGUCUGUUUCCUUCUUUGUGCUGAUUGCACGUGAAGCUGAUGUUGCAGUUCUUGUGUUCUACUUCUUUGUGAUCUUUGUAAUUUGUGCAUAAAUUAUUUGUUUUAUGGAGCUGUAGCAUAUGGCAGCAAAGAAUCACUCUGUUUUAAGGAACUCCCAGGUGACAUAAAGAAAAUGAAUAACUUAUCUGUUGAUCUUCGUGACUGCUAUGAACAUGUGAACAUCC